rnacentral:lncRNA from 1 species
CAUGCUCUAACUUAUACAUACCCAGGACCCCGAGGGAGCCCACCGGAGAGGCGGCUAACCUGGGAAGAAGACAUGUGAGCUGAGUAGAAGGAUAUGGGAGAGAAAUUGUGGCAAAAACGAAGAACAAGUGCACCGAGCAGUUUCAGCGACCCUGUCGACCACCGUGAGGAAGAAGCCAGAAGGCUUCUCCUUCUGGCGAAUCAUCAGCCAGUCAAUAGCAGCCGCGUGUCCCAUGAUGUCACACCUGCAAUGGUCUCCUGCCUUGUCUCACUCACCUUGAGGGCAUCUUACGAUCUCAUAUCAUCUGAGGAGGGUGAGUAAAGUAAAAUAGAAUAUUUUGAGAGAGAGAGAGCACACCCACAUAACUUUUAUUACAGUAUAUUGUUACAAUUGUUCUAUUUUGUUUUUAGUUAUUGUUGUUCAUCUUGACUGUGCCUACUUUACAUCAUGGCAUGGACAUAGAGGAAGAAACAUGAGCAUGUGGAGUGCCGUCUGCUGUUUCAGGCCUCCAACGGGGGUCUUGGAACAUAUCCUUCACACGUAAGUGGAGACGACUGUAUGUUGUUCGUGCUGUAGUCUGAGGAACUGAAGGCAUGAGCUUGUGUGAUGGGAAAAAUUAUAAAA